UACGAAGGGGGCUAGCGUUGCUCGGAAUCACUGGGCGUAAAGGGUGCGUAGGCGGGUCUUUUAAGUCAGGGGUGAAAUAUCCCGGCUUAACCGGGAGGGUGGCAUUGAUACUGCGAGGCUUGAGUAAAGUUGAGGUUGGCGGAAUUGACGGUGUAGCGGUGAAAUGCUUAGAUAUCAGGAGGAACACCAAUUGCGAAGGCAGCUCGCUGGAACGUUACUGACGCUGAGACGCGAAAGCGUGGGGAGCAAACAGG
rnacentral:rRNA from 1 species